CCUACGGGUGGCAGCAGUGGGGAAUAUUGGACAAUGGGGGCAACCCUGAUCCAGCCAUGCCGCGUGUGUGAAGAAGGCCCUCGGGUUGUAAAGCACUUUCAGUGAGGAAGAACGCCUGGUGGUUAAUACCCAUCAGGAAAGACAUCACUCACAGAAGAAGCACCGGCUAACUCCGUGCCAGCAGCCGCGGUAAUACGGAGGGUGCGAGCGUUAAUCGGAAUUACUGGGCGUAAAGCGCGCGUAGGUGGCUUGAUAAGCCGGUUGUGAAAGCCCCGGGCUCAACCUGGGAACGGCAUCCGGAACUGUCAAGCUAGAGUGCAGGAGAGGAAGGUAGAAUUCCCGGUGUAGCGGUGAAAUGCGUAGAGAUCGGGAGGAAUACCAGUGGCGAAGGCGGCCUUCUGGACUGACACUGACGCUGAGGUGCGAAAGCGUGGGUAGCAAACAGGAUUAGAUACCCUUGUAGUC
rnacentral:rRNA from 1 species